CGACCGCUCCCAUUCGGAAGCUAAGGCCACACGGACAGCCGGGUCGGAUGCCGA
rnacentral:sRNA from 12 species